UCCGAUAUGGUGUAAUGGCUAACAUUGCCGCCUCUCAUCCCGUAUAUGUCGUUGCGACCGGUGGCGCAGUCCCGGGAUAUGCGCCCCCCGGCCACAAUGACAUUGGAUCGCGGCAGCUCGGGGUUCGAUUCCCCGUGUCGGAA